rnacentral:rRNA from 1 species
CGCGUAGACGGCUGUCUAAGUCUGGAGUGAAAGUCCUGCUUUCAAGGUGGGAAUUGCUUUGGAGACUGGAUGGCUUGAGUGCGGAAGAGGUAAGUGGAAUUCCCAGUGUAGCGGUGAAAUGCGUAGAGAUUGGGAAGAACACCAGUGGCGAAGGCGACUUACUGGGCCGUAACUGACGUUGAUGCGCGAAAGCGUGGGGAGCGAACAG